rnacentral:lncRNA from 10 species
AGAAAUUGGAUCUCAGCCACAGAAAUCAUGUGAGGAUACAGCAACAGGAAAAGGAAAGGCCAAUUUGUAAGGAAGAAGAAUCCAUUGAGGACUUUGCAAAACAUCCAUAAUCUGAAGAGGGUAGAGUGAGAUACCUGCUGUGCCUGCACUGAAACAGCUGUUUCAAGAACCUUAAGCAUCUGGGGAAGUCAUCCAGAGAAAGGCCAUCCACUGUGCUUUUGAUCUCUCCACUUCAGGCACUGAAGCACUGCCUGCCCAUAUGCUUGGAGUUCUUCCAAUAGAAGGAAGCUGUCUGAGGAAAAAGGACAUGCUACAUCUAUCUGAUUCCUAUUCCUGUCACAAUCACCACAACACCACUUCACCCUGGAAGCAGUAGAGCUGAUUGGAGGAGCAGCAGCUGAUUCCAGUUUGCAGUCUUUCCACAUACAUGGAAGUCAUAUUCUGGCAUCUCGCAGGUAGCACUAGAAAGCAUCGCUCCUUAGAGAGCUGAGUCUCAGAUUCACAGGAUUCCUCCUCCAAACUUGUCAAUUUGAAUAAUUCCAACCUGGUCUUUUUGUACUCCAGUCUUACAGGUGGCAGCUGCUUCUUUCUGUGAUAGCCUAGUGCCUCCUUUUUGUCUUUCUAGUUCUCUAAGACCCAGUUUACAAUUUUUAAAUCAAAACUCUGUUCAAUAAUCUGAUGAAGUUUCUAUAUUUUGACUAGAGCGACUGAUAAAGAAGUGUUUUUAACUGUGAUAACCAUUAAAGAAACAUUAAAAUAAUUACAGAUUUGUUGUUGAUGCUUGUUAGAAAACUGUCCAAUGUUCUACAGGAACUUAAUCUUUGUCAAGCACUUCUCUAAGUGAUGGGAGUGAAAAAGGCAGGUGGAUCAUUGACCUUAGUAGCUUACAUGACAAUAGGGAUGGAGUGUGAGAGUUAAGUUCUAAACACAUAAGCAAGUCCCUGUUGAUAAGUGCUUUGAUAAAGA